GACAGCGUGAUUCUCUGCAGCUGGCCGCCUCCCGCUGCUGUUCCGCCCACGUCGAGUCCUGAGCUGAAAUGGCAGACGAUCUCGGAGACGAGUGGUGGAAGAACCAGCCGGCUGGAGCAGGCAGCAGCCCAGAAGACUGUCCCAUCUCUACCCAUAGGCUCCACUUCACAGGUCCAAGAGCCCAUCAGAGCCUGGCUCUCAAGAGACAGUGUGUCUGAAAGUCAAACAUGGAUGGCAGCCAUUGGCACACAAAGGAGUCAGAAACCACAGAUUGUUUUCUCGUUGGAUGAACAGCUUAAAGCAACGUAAAGUUAAUUGAAGAAUUCCUUGAAAGUGAAGUCAGACUAAAAAGAAAUGCUCCGAGUCUAUAAUUUACUAAAUGUGAAAGAACUUGUUGUCUUCCUUCCUCACCCACUUUCAGAAAGGAUUUGAUGUUGCCUAGGGUUAAAAUAGAUAAAUAAAAUCAAAACCAUUAGGAUGAAUAUGAAGGAACGGGGAAAGAUUUUAUACUCAAAUCCCUGAGAUGGAGUCUUGUUCUGUCGCCCAGGCUGGAGUGCAGUGGCGCGAUCUCGGCUCACUGCAACCUCCGCCUCCCGGGUUCACACCAUUCUCCUGCCUCAGCCUGCCGAGUAGCUGGGACUACAGACGCCCGCCAUCACGCCCGGCUAAUUUUUUUGUAUUUUUAGUAGAGAUGGGGUUUCACUGUGUUAGCCAGGAUGGUCUCGAUCUCCUGACCUUAUCAUCUGCCCACCUCGGCCUUCCAAAAUGCUGGGAUUACAGGCAUGAGCCACUGUGCCUGGCCUCAUAGUUAACAACUUUCUUGAUCUGUCUACCUGCAUUUUAUAAUUGGAUACAUGAAUCAAUCCAAGCUGUCUGAAUAUUUCUUUUUCUUCCUGCACACACAAAAGUCAGUGAAAAGUAGGAACCUAAGACAAUCUCUGGAACAGGUAACCAUCUCUUACCACUUACAACAUAAGAUUAAACAAAGAGUUCUCUCCUGUGGCUUAUUUGCAUAUUUCAUUUGCAUAAUUCUCAUCUAACUCCCUCUUUAAAAAAAAAGUAUUAAUUAUUCAAAUAAAUACUAUCUAUCCAGGCCAUAAACAGUAUAUUAAAGUUCUCUCCCUGAGAAUCAUUUGUAUAGUUCCAGAUAAUAGCAUUCCAUUUUAAUAUAGAUGAGUACACAGAUGUGACCAUGGUUUUAGAAACAGUUUAGGUAGCAUCAAGAAACAUCUGCACAUUUUCCCAGCAGCCUGAGUAACUAGUAGUGAUUUGUACAGACUUCUCUGCAUCCGCUUUUUCCCCCUUCCUUUUUUCAGCACAUCUAGAUGAUUAAUAGACUGAACAGGCCCUUAUAUAUGCAUUCUGACAGCCUUUAGGACGGUCUUGGUUGACAAUACACACAUAAGCCAAUGUUGUUAUCAUGAAACACUUCAUUUGAAUGACUAUUAUAGGCUGAACAGGAUGUCCUAUGCCAAGAGGUUGUGACAUUUUGAGAGGGUGGUGCUGGGAGCCAUGUGGGACUCUUUUCCCAUCACAGCCAAGUUGACAUUUUCUCAGGUUGUAGGAUCAUUAGGGCUGCAGGGGGAGAAACUUUGUCAGUGGCUGGGUAGAAGUCCCUUAAGCCUGGAUUAUGCAUUUGAAAAAAUGAUUUCUUUGCCUUAGGGAAGAGAGUCUCAUUUUAAAAAGAAAAAAGUUUUUAUAACGAGUUCAUGUAUUCCACUAUGAAUUUUGCUGAAAAAUCUGUCCUGAAGUAUGUCUUUGCUGCCAAAUCCCACGCUUUACAGUUAACCAAAGUUGACUCUGUAUGACCUGUUACAUUUUCCUUAGACAGUUGGAUGUGAUCACAGAAGGGUGACUGCCAAAGUUUUAUUUCAGCUCAGAUAUAGCUAAAUGCAAGAAAUCACUUCCUGACACCUUUCUUCUGCCUGCCCCACCCUAAAUCACCAUUUUUCAAACAAGCUAUGGGAUCUACAAAAUGGCCUACCUGUGUUCCAAGUUAAUUUUGAGAAUGGCUUUUUAUGGCUGGUUUGUAAUCUCUUUAGAAAAGCAAAAUUAUGAUGGAAACUCUAUGACAUCCUAAGCUGUAAGCACUUGAAGAUGAAUGUAACUUCAGGUCUGUGAAGCUAAAUAUUUACCUUCCACAUGA
rnacentral:sRNA from 1 species